rnacentral:rRNA from 1 species
AGCGAACGCUGGCGGCAGGCUUAACACAUGCAAGUCGAGCGGGCAUAGCAAUAUGUCAGCGGCAGACGGGUGAGUAACGCGUGGGAACGUACCUUUUGGUUCGGAACAACACAGGGAAACUUGUGCUAAUACCGGAUAAGCCCUUACGGGGAAAGAUUUAUCGCCGAAAGAUCGGCCCGCGUCUGAUUAGCUAGUUGGUGCGGUAAUGGCUCACCAAGGCGACGAUCAGUAGAUGGUCUGAGAGGAUGAUCAGCCACAUUGGGACUGAGACACGGCCCAAACUCCUACGGGAGGCAGCAGUGGGGAAUAUUGGACAAUGGGCGCAAGCAUGAUCCAGCCAUGCCGCGUGAGUGAUGAAGGCCCUAGGGUUGUAAAGCUCUUUUGUGCGGGAAGAUAAUGACGGUACCGCAAGAAUAAGCCCCGGCUAACUUCGUG